CGGCGAUCGCAUUUCCGGAUGAAGGGUUUUUGUAGACGGAAAUUUCCAGCGGAAGAUUAUAUAGAAUGUUCAGACCAGCCUUUUGCAUUCCAUUAUGCAUAUAGUAUAGGUUUUGCAUAUAUUAUAGGUUUUGUAUAUAUUAUAGGUUUUGCAUAUAUUAUAGGUGGCGCCUGCGCAUUGCGCAAUCAAUGUCAAGGGGAUUCAAAGUCGGACAAAAAGACUUACGCCAUGUUGAAUCUGAAUCGUCCCCAGUCGUCUCACUGCGCGCGCUUUCCAAUUCGCACGUGCUCACAGAAACGACUGGGGACGAGUCAGAUGUUGAAUAGCAACGUUGCGGAGGUGACAUAAUUGUCACACGAAAACUACGUCGAAACAAUUUGGCCCGCGGGUCUGAAGUCAUCCCGCUCGCUAUUGUCAGCCCGGGAUGAAUGUAAACACAAAUACAUUUCAGAGCGG